rnacentral:tRNA from 1 species
GAGAGUGUAGCUCAGUGGUAGAGCAUGUGUCUAGCAUGCCCAAGGUCCUGGGUUCAAUCCCCAGUCUCUCC